rnacentral:tRNA from 1 species
GGGUAGAUGACUGAGUGGUUUAAAGUGCCAAUCUUGAAAAUUGUUGUGAAUUUUUUCACCGUAGGUUCGAAUCCUACUCUAUCCGA